UCCCUUUUUAAGAAACAGUACUCAUCCAUAUUACUAUUCUUCAAGUUUUCCUGGUUGUACGUAUGUAUGUAGGUUGAUCUACUGAAAGGCAAAAAUCGCCUAUUCAUACCAUUUAGAAUGUGUUGUAGUGUUGAGUAUGGCUUAUUUCAUCUGACGUUUUAUGCUCCCUUUUUAAGAAACACACAUGCUUUUAAAAUUAUACUGACUUCAUGAGAGUGUUUAUCAAUGUCAGGUCCAUCAACUGGUACAGGUUUUGUGCUUUAAAUUUUAGUCAGUUGCAGAAAAUAUGACUGGAGGUGUAAGGCCUGAUUAUCGGUAAGAAACAGAACUGGGAUAGAAAGCUCCAGUCAUACUAUUAGAUCUUCAUCGUACUAUCAGUAUGCUGGAAGAAAUUUAUGAAGCUGAAGAAGGAAGAGUUGAUUGACUAUUUUGGGCUACAUAUUAAAAAACGAAAUGAAAGACUUUGUUACAUGCAAAAGACCUGUACAGUUGUAUAGCACCAGCUCUAUCUCAUGCAGCAGCAGCAGUAGCAGUUCAUUAUGCAGCUUAUUAUGGCAGUUUAUAUGACUUGUGAAAUGUUGACAAUUUAUUAAAAUUUGGUAUUAAUAAAAUGUCGUACAGAACAUG